rnacentral:lncRNA from 1 species
GCUCAAAAUGCAAGAUGUGUUUCCCUUUUCCACACCCCAGGGAUGGUUCUUGCCUUAGAAGCAAGUCCUGUGCACUGCUGGUCAUGCUUAGAAUGCUCAUACCAUUUCCUUCAGUGCACAUUUAGAAAACAAUGAGCUACUUGCUUUGAAGACCAAGAUAAGAAACACCAAAAUCAGCUUCAUCUGCUCUUUGAAAAUGGUUCUGUGGCUUGCAAGGUUCACUGGCUAAUUCCCCAACACCUCCAAAGCCAGAAGAUUCUUCAAUUCCUGAAGGACUUGCAUUCUUGACUUCCAGAAGUCUGGAUUUCCCAAAAGAAGACAGAUUUCCCAAAAGUGCACUCAGCUAAGGAAGACAUCUUGCAUGCAGUAGUCACACAUACCCAAGGCUUGAGAGAGACAGUACCUGUGAUUGCAAUGUAAUAACCAGCUGUGAAAACUCGCACCUUUAAAAAUGGACAAAGAACAAGGCAUCUUGUUCAAGAUGAGUUGAGAAUGUUAUAGGAAUAUUUUCUCAACAUCUGCAAAGGCAGAUUACACUUUCUGUCCUCAUGUCUCCUUCACACAGACAUUCUCCAUCCACUUCAGCACCACCUACAUUCUACAAGAAGAUGCCAUCCUAUGGAUCUUACUGAGAAUUGCCCAAACUAAAAAGAAGAACUGUGAACACACAGCAGAAAAAAAAUGGGAAUAAAUUCCAAGGUAUUCUAAACUUUCUGAAUAAAAUGUACUGGGGUUUUUGCAUGCCAAAUCUGGUUGUUUGGUAGCAGAAAACAUAUACUCCAAGGACGAAUGUUAAAUAUCACUGCCAACUAAUUAUCUUUAUCUGGUAUCCAUGAAAGCAAAGUUAGUAGAAAAGAAUGAAAGUGAAGCCCACGCAGGAAAUAACAUGAUGAAUGGAUCCUAUAGGAAUAAAAAAGGCUGCUUCAUGUCUUCUGAGAAAAAUUUGAAGUUCCUACUGGCACAUUGAUUCUUCCGUGUGCACUUGCACUUGUCUGUAGGAAAUCUCCAUAUG